CUGGUUGAUCCUUCCAGUAGUCAUAUUCUUGUCUCAAAGAUUAAGCCAUGCAUGUCUAAGUAUGAACUAAUUCACACUGUGAAACUGCGGAUGACUCAUUAAAUAAGUUAUAGUUUCUUUGAUGGUACCCUACUACUCGGAUAACCGUAGUAAUUCUAGAGCUAAUAUGUUCACCAAGUCCCGACUCUUUGGAAGGGAUGCAUUUAUUAGAUAAUAGACCAACGCGAGCUUGCCUGCUUCUCCGGUGAAUCAUGAUAACUCGACGGAUCACACAGCCCUUAUGCUGGCGAUGCUUCAUUCAAAUUUCUACCCUAUCAACUUUUGAUGGUAGGAUAGAGGCCUACCAUGGUGGUGAUGGGUGACGGAUAAUUAGGGCUUGAUUCUGGAGAGGGAGCCUGAGAAACAACUACCACAUCCAAGGAAGGCAACAUGCACACAAAUUAACCAAUCCUGACAUGGGGAGGUAGUGACAAUAAAUAACAAUACUGGGCUCAUUGAGUAUGGUAAUUGGAAUGAGUACAAUCUAAAUCUCUUAACGAGGAUCCAUUGGAGGGAAAAUCUGGUGGAAGCAACCAUGGUAAUUCCAACUCCAAUAGAAUAUAUUUAAGUUGUUGCAGUUAAAAAGCUCAUAGUUGGAUCUUGGGUCUUAAAGGUCGGUCCACCUACUUGGUGUGCACCUUCCCUUCUGUCCCUUUUUCCGGCGGCAUGCUCCUAGCCUUAAUUGGUUGGGUAGAUGGGAUCUAGGAUGCUCAUCUAGGACAGAUAAGAACCAAUUUUG
rnacentral:ncRNA from 1 species